GCAUGUGAGUGGUGAUGGAUUUGUAUGCCGCGGUGGGCUCCCUGCUAUUGUGCAGUUGACCACCGACGCCGCAAGUCUCUUCAAUGGCACUCUGUUUGAAUGGAGAUGCGUGUGUUGCCUGUACAAUCUACCUAGUUCCUUUGGAAAUAGACAUUGUUUACCUCGCUUAUCCACUUCUCAUGUCCUAUGUGAAUGAGGAGUGUCGAUGUCCGUGCACCUUGUGUGUCCUCGAACGAUUGCAUGUCUCAGACCUCUCGUUUCGAGUGGCUCCAGUGUUCACGUGAGUGCUCUUGGAUGCAGUGGAUAAGAAUGUACCAUGGGUCUUCGGACUCUUGGCACAUGAUCGGUUGGCUUUCUUAGUCGCCCUUCGACGGAUGACGGCCUUCCCAUCGUUGCCCCCCUUUCCCUUGUGGUAAUGGGUCGGCAUGUUGGGCUUGGCGUCGUAGAGGACGUGCUACC
rnacentral:misc_RNA from 1 species